CACCUUGCCGCAUUUGCCCGUGUCCGCCGCUGCCGACCGCAACAAGCGCCUCCACGUGCGGGCGGCUCGCGCCCGUGCCUCCCUGCCGCCCCGCGCCGCCGCCCACCGGAGCUCCGCUGCCGGACCAACGCGCCGCCAUGCCCUCCUCUCCUUCUUCCUUCCCCUCCCUCUUGUUCUAUUUCUCACAUCCCCCUCUCUCUCUCUCCUUCGCAGGAAGCGGAAGCCAUGGCCCUGGUCCUCCAUGCCAGACCGCCGCCCCGCGCUGGCCGGCCAUCAGAGCGCCGCCGCCGGACCAACGCGCCGCCCUGCCCUCCUCUCCUUCUUCCCUCCCUUCUUCUGGUUCUAUUUCUCACAUCCCUCUCUCCCUCUCCCCCUUCACAGGAAGCGGAAGCCAUGGUCGUUGGAUCUCCAUGCCGGACGGCCACCCCACGCCGGCCGGCCACCGGAGCGCCGCCUCCGGAGCAACGCGGGUUGCCGCGCUGGACCGCAAGCGGAUGCACUAGUUGUGCUCGACGGAGAUGGGCCCUGUGUGCGUGCCCCCGCAGCCUGGACGAAACUCCGGCGAGGCCAUGAGCUCCCGAGCCCCAACCCGGGUGUAGGAGCGUACGGGAGCGUCGUCGUGGAUCCUGCGCGUCCUAGGUCCGCCGAGGCCACGGGCUCCCAAGCCGGGCAUAGGUGCGUACUGGAGCAACGCCCGCCUGGGCGAGGUCCUCCUGCUUCUGGAGGAGGCGAACAAGCCGAACCAAGCCAUGAGGCGCCCGUGGCCAACACAGUCUAUUAAACCUUCGAUAUGCUGGAGGGUGAUGAGGUGACAUGGAGCUAAACAUAGAUUGAAGAUUCUGUCAUGGGUUCCUCAGAGAAGAUAGAACAAAUGUGUAUGGAGAUCCAGCUGUUGAAGACGCCGAGGGACAAGAACAUUCAGGAGUUGUUCGCCUAAUGGGUUGGUGAGAACAAGAAUACAGUUAACAUCAUCACAGAGCCCUGCACAUCUCGCAUGCGAGGCAGUUCUGUAGGAAGCACAAGAAAGUGGGUAUGAAAGCUAUGAGAUGAUGGCCAAUGCAGAUAUUGACAGGACUGGAAUAUCAUUAGAGUCCGGCGCCAACGAAUAUACAUAGCGACUUCAAGUGUGACAAUAUAUUCAUAAAUAGUCCUGAUGGAACAGUGAAGAUCGGCAACUAUAUGGUCUGGCGACAUUAUUGCAUCAAUGGAAAAAGCAAAGUGUCAAAGGCGCAUUAGACUUUACGGCACCAGAACGCUUCACUGGCAAUACAAUGAGUUGCUUGGGUAUUCCAAUCCCCUUGCUGAACCCUGUGCUAUUCGCAGCCUCUUUUGUCAAUCCAGCAGCACACCGCUGCCCUUCGCAUCCUCCCUGCAUCACUGCAACUGGGCCGUCCUCACAUCGUCUGCGGUCACAUGCGCAAUCUCUGCGCUCGACGCUGCCUCCACCGAGAUUCAUUGCAAGGGUGCCUGAAACGCCCACUGUUGGGUACAUGCAUACAACAAUUAUGCCAUGUCUUCCCUAUUCGAUCGGUCGCACAGAUUUGUUUGUGCCAUUGCCGAUCAUGUACUUCUUUCUGUGCUUGGAAGCAUAGUCUCAUCGUAUCCCCUAGAUCUGUAUAAGUAUAUUUAGCUCACAUACACUUGGCAUUUGUUCUUCAAAAGGCGAUGUCCUCGAUGCUGGACUCCUGCUGCGUUAAACUUUUUGCUCUUCGAAAGCAACUAUCUCCUGUAGAUGAAAGACUUCCUGCAAGUGAGCUCUUGAAUAACUCUUACCUCCAGGAAGAUGAGGUCUAUUCCAGCGCCUUCAAUUUCAGUCUCUCUGGUCUCAAGUGUGACUGAAGAUGGGUGGCAAUCUGCAAGUUUCGUGCUUUGGAAGGGUGAAUUCUUACUGAAAAACCAUAUGUAUCUUACCGACCAUAUUAAUUUAUUGCUAAGGUUUCCUCAUACCACUGGCUGUUUAAAGAAUGUUGAGUUGUCAAGCGAGGUGCUGCAGUGGCUGGCGUUGCCGGGCAUAGGACGACGUCUCUAGGCUCCUGCCUGAGGCAAGCCUCUCCAGCCUCCUCGGAUGCCCUCUAGGAACUGGCACUGCGUAUGAUGGUCUCCUCACCUAGCACCUAGGUUGACCUAGCCACCGCCAUCGAAGCGGAGAGUUGACAACAUAUGUAUGAUUGUUGGACGUGUCAGUCCUGCCAUUGACAUGUUCAAAACUAUGAAUUGAGUGAUUACAAAUAUGCUUUGAUCAAUGAAAUGAAAGGAUGUUCUGUUA